rnacentral:rRNA from 1 species
GAUGAACGCUGGCGGCGUGCCUAAUACAUGCAAGUCGAGCGAACAGACGAGGAGCUUGCUCCUCUGACGUUAGCGGCGGACGGGUGAGUAACACGUGGAUAACCUACCUAUAAGACUGGGAUAACUUCGGGAAACCGGAGCUAAUACCGGAUAAUAUAUUGAACCGCAUGGUUCAAUAGUGAAAGACGGUUUUGCUGUCACUUCUAGAUGGAUCCGCGCCGCAUUAGCUAGUUGGUAAGGUAACGGCUUACCAAGGCAACGAUGCGUAGCCGACCGGAGAGGGUGAUCGGCCACACUGGAACUGAGACACGGUCCAGACUCCUACGGGAGGCAGCAGUAGGGAAUGUUCCGCAAUGGGCGAAAGCCUGACGGAGCAACGCCGCGUGAGUGAUGAAGGUCUUCGGAUCGUAAAACUCUGUUAUUAGGGAAGAACAAAUGUGUAAGUAACUAUGCACGUCUUGACGGUACCUAAUCAGAAAGCCACGGCUAACUACGUG